rnacentral:lncRNA from 1 species
CAUCCAUACUUUCGCCUAAUGCAGCUGACUUUGAUGAUAAUUCUGAUAGCUUGGCCAGAAAGUCAUCAAUCUUAUCAGUGUCCUUCAUCUUUAAGCGGUCGAAUUCAGUCAUUAGGGUUUGUAGUCGCGCCUCUCGAACUCUAUCAGCUCCCACAUAACGAGUUUUGAUCGCAUCCCAUACUUUCCUUGCGGUGUCGAGUCCUCCAGUUUGUAAGAUCAUUGUUUCCGGGAUGGACUGAAACUGA